GGACGGCUAGCUCAGUUGGUUAGAGCAACUGGUUUACACCCAGUAGGUCGCAGGUUCGAGUCCUGCGCCGUCCACCA
rnacentral:tRNA from 1 species